rnacentral:rRNA from 1 species
AGCAGCCGCGGUAAUUCCAGCUCCAAUAGCGUAUAUUAAAGUUGUUGCAGUUAAAAAGCUCGUAGUUGAAUUUCGGGAUCAGUGAGUCGGUCGUGCCACUGGUAUGCACUGGCUCUACUGGUUCCUCCUUCUUGAAGAACUGUAAUGCCAUUAAUUUGGUGUUGCAGGGAAACAGGACUGUUACUUUGAAAAAUUAGAGUGUUUAAAGCAGGCAAUCGCUUGAAUACAUUAGCAUGGAAUAAUGAAAUAGGACGUUCGAUCCUAUUUUGUGGUUUCUAGGAUUGACGUAAUGAUUAAUAGGGAUAGUUGGGGGCAUUAGUAUUCAAUUGUCAGAGGUGAAAUUCUUGGAUUUAUUGAAGACUAACUACUGCGAAAGCAUUUGCCAAGGAUGUUUUCAUUAAUCAAGAACGAAAGUUAGGGGAUCGAAGACGAUCAGAUACCGUCGUAGUCUUAACCAUAAACCUAUGCCGACUAGGGAUCGGAUGAUGUUAAUUUUUAANGACUCAUUC